UUUUGUGGAUUUUAGGGUUUACAAUUUUUUAGGUUUUUUAUAAUUUUAAGUUUAAAGUUUAGGGUUUUUUAAGUUUUUUAUAUAUUCUUUUUUCUUAUAAUUUUUUGACAUGUAAAGUUAAUAAUAUUUGAAUUAUUCAAAUUGCAAAAUUUAUUUCGAUUUAAAAUCAAAACUCAAACUACUCAAUUUGAUUAAAUCUUAAUUUUUAAUUUUUUUUAAAGUUUUUUUGAAUGCAUCUGAGUUUUGAUCAUAAUGCUUACAAUGCAUUAUUUCCGAACAUUCAG
rnacentral:lncRNA from 1 species